GGGCAAUCUGCCCUUCACUCUGGGACAAGCCCUGGAAACGGGGUCUAAUACCGGAUAACACCGGCUUCCGCAUGGAAGCUGGUUGAAAGCUCCGGCGGUGAAGGAUGAGCCCGCGGCCUAUCAGCUUGUUGGUGGGGUAAUGGCCUACCAAGGCGACGACGGGUAGCCGGCCUGAGAGGGCGACCGGCCACACUGGGACUGAGACACGGCCCAGACUCCUACGGGAGGCAGCAGUGGGGAAUAUUGCACAAUGGGCGAAAGCCUGAUGCAGCGACGCCGCGUGAGGGAUGACGGCCUUCGGGUUGUAAACCUCUUUCAGCAGGGAAGAAGCGAAAGUGACGGUACCUGCAGAAGAAGCGCCGGCUAACUACGUGCCAGCAGCCGCGGUAAUACGUAGGGCGCAAGCGUUGUCCGGAAUUAUUGGGCGUAAAGAGCUCGUAGGCGGCUUGUCACGUCGGGUGUGAAAGCCCGGGGCUUAACCCCGGGUCUGCAUCCGAUACGGGCAGGCUAGAGUGUGGUAGGGGAGAUCGGAAUUCCUGGUGUAGCGGUGAAAUGCGCAGAUAUCAGGAGGAACACCGGUGGCGAAGGCGGAUCUCUGGGCCAUUACUGACGCUGAGGAGCGAAAGCGUGGGGAGCGAACAGGAUUAGAUACCCUGGUAGUCCACGCCGUAAACGUUGGGAACUAGGUGUUGGCGACAUU
rnacentral:rRNA from 1 species